GAUUGCAGGCUGCAACUCGCCUGCAUNAAGUCGGAAUUGCUAGUAAUCGUAGGUCAGCAUACUACGGUGAAUACGUUCCCGGGCCCUUGUACACACCGCCCGUCAAACCAUGAGAGUUGGCAACACCCGAAGUCGGUAGUCUAACCGCAAGGAGGACGCCGCCGAAGGUGGGGUUGAUGAUUAGGGUUAAGUCGUAACAAGGUAAC
rnacentral:rRNA from 1 species